CCGUUGGUAGCUCAGAUGGUAGAGCGGUGGACUGUAGAUCCAUAGGUCGCUGGUUCAAUUCCGGCCCAACGGA
rnacentral:tRNA from 1 species